UACAGUCUACUACACAGUUAAUAUAUCUAAAAAAAUAGAUGGCAGCAUAUAUGAGUAUACUGCAACGCCAUCUCUGUUACAAUGUAAGCAUUAUUUCAUGUUAUGGUCCUAAUGGUUGUAAAAGAGCCCAAUAGGUAGCUAUAGUAGAGCUGUAUUCAAAUAUUAAGUAAUUAUAUGUUUACAUUUUUAAUAAAGCAUAUAAGAAAAAAAUACACUUCUUAGCAAAAUUUUAUUAUUUGACAAUUAGGAUUAAUAUAAAUAUAUCUUAAUGAUUUCACAGAAUUAAAAGAAAUAUAAUAAAUAAAAUUAAUAGAAAUGAAAUAAGAAACUAAAUAUAACUUCAGUCAACUAAUACCUAUACGUUUUAUCUUGAAUUAUAUAGGUACAAAAAGGUCAUUGGUUAUCAAAAUGAAUCUUCGAGCCAUUUUAUUUAUUUGUUCAGUUCAGAGGCAAACAGGAAAAUAAGGAAAUAACAGUGUCGAAUUAAUAAGCUUAAUUAAGUUAUUUUUUCGAAAAUCUACAAAAUGAAGUGUAUUUUAUUAUUGACGUGUAGUUUGUUCUUUGUUCUAAAUUGUGAACAGUCAAAUGGAGGAAUAGUGACUGAAUUAAUGGAUCACGUAGGUAAAAAAGCAGAGAAAGUAACAAACAGUAUUACUGGACUUACAGAUUUAUUGUUAUUAAAAAAGAAAAGUAAGGAUCAAGUUUCUACUUCAACCCAUAUACAAGAGACAAAUUAUGCUGAAGUUACGACAGAGAGAGUAAAAAUCAAUAAUUAUCAUAAUGACUCUAAAGAAAAAGAAUACAAUAUUGAUGUCAGAUUUUCUUCUGAUGACUCAGAUAGUGAUAAUAAAAUAUAUUUUCCCACUAAAUAAUAGUAAUAAAUUGCAAAAUGUGAGUACCAGUGUAAACUAGAGGACGAUUUAUGGUAAAAUUAUUGUUAGGUAUAUAUUUUUAAAUAAUUGUAGUUUUCGUAUAUUAACAAUUUUCUACUAAAGGAAAUUUAUAUCUAUCAUUUUAAUGGACAAGUAUGUUAUGUAAUUACUAAACCUAUGAAUAAGUAAUAAUAACAUUUUUCAAAAUGAUCUAAAGUUGUUUUAAUUUUAAUUAUUAAGCAGAUAAUAUCAAGCUAUACAUCGCUAUAUUGAGUUAAUCAAUUUUCUAUAUUAUUAAAUAGUGUUUAUUAUACUUGCUUUAUUAUUAAACAUGCAAUUUUUUUUAUAUUUCAAAAUUAAAUAUAUAAGGGGUAACAUCAUUAUAUUUCCAUUAUCCUAAUUAUAUAAAGAGUAUAUAGGUAAUAUAAUACAUAUUUAGUUUAUUGAGGUCCAAAUAAAUAUAUGAAUGGUACUAUAAGUAUAUUUCUUACAUGUAAAGCUAAAUUAACUAAUAUAGUAUUUAAUUAUAACUAACAAAAUUUUUGUAAAUAGAUUUUACUUUCGUAAAUAUUUACUUAACUAUAUUAUUAUAGAAUUUUUUUUUAUCAAAUAUUAUAUAUUACACGUUGUCUAAAUUUAAGUAAAUGAAUUGUCAAUUUGUGAAUAUUUUGAUAUAUUUUCAAUAACUAGGUGGCGCUACUUGUUAUUGAAAACUAAGUUGUAUAAAUGUAAUUAUGUAAAAUACUUCAAAAAUAUAUUAUAGUGACUUAAAAUAACAGUAAAAUAGAUCUUUUGACUUACUGCUUAUUUUUUUAUGAAUGAUAAUGGAAUAGUAACCGCGCAUACACUAUCAGUAUACACUGGCGGGGCACCGGUUAAGGAUGAAAACCAAAACAAGUGAAUUGGCCUAUAGUGAUGAAUUCACUAAGAAUUAGCCACGAUGGUUUCCAGGGAGAACCGCAUUGAGGAACCGCUAGUCCCUCUAUUACUGAAAACCCCUUUUUCCCCCCACUGUCUAUGUUAUUUGAGUAUUUGAAAGUUUUCAACAAAUGUAAUAUUCUAUGUAUUUAUAUUACCAAAAUAGGUAGAUUUAUUUUUUGAGGAUUAAUGAAAAUAAUAUGAGAAUGUCUUCCUGUUAAUUGAUAAUAUAUGUUAUUGUUUUGUUAAGUAUUUGUACCAGAUAUAAAAAGAAAUUAAAUACAUACGAGUACAUACCAUUAUAUAAUAAUUCCUUCUUUGUGAUUUAUCGUAAAAUUUUAAAAAAAGAUCAGACAUUUUACUACUAAAUUACCUACUUACUUCCAAAUAACUCUACUGAAAGUAUUAUCACAGUGAAUUGAUGUAUGUUUAAGUCACCAGUCGCCUUUAGGGUAAUACACGAUUUCAUAUGCAAACAGUUACCUGCUCUGAUAAAUUACCCUAUUUUUUAAGAUUUGACGUGAAUGAUAGGGAUUUCUGUUCUAACCCGGCUUACUCUUUCUACGUAAAAACUAUAUCUACAUAUAUACAGUUAUGUAAUGUAAAUUUCAAGUAGGUAUACAUUCCAAAAUUACCAAACAUUGUAGUAUAUUGUCGGAGGUUGAUGGCUAAGGUUGUAGAACUACUGGUAAUAGAAAUAAUAGUUAAUCUUUGAGUAUUGGCAGUCGCACCCAUACUAAUGGUAAUCAAUAAUAAUUCUAAUCAACUAACCAAGGGGGAAAGGGAUUGUUAGUAAUAGAGACUGAGAAUCCCAGGUCGACCUCCACGCGGUUCUCCCUGGAAACUAUCAUGGUUAAUUCCUGAUGAAUUCAUCACGAUGGGCUUGUUUUCAUUCUCAUCUAUCACCCUUUACUGGUGCUCCGCAAGCGUAUACCGUUAGCGCAGCGCAUACCAUUUUCACCCAUAAAAAAAGAAAAAUCAACUAACCAGCGAUACGGACGUCCGCAAAACACAUCAGUUUUGUAAAAUAUUGUAGUAGCUAUUAAGUGUCAACUAGCCUUCUAAUAUUAUAGAUCAAACUUUGUUUGAUAUCCAUUACUCAAUAAUAUUUUAACGGCUAGUCGGUAUUAAAUAAAUUCCAAUACAUAAAUAGACCACAUUCUAUAAAGGUUUACUUUUGUCCUAAUAGACGCAGACACCGCCGCGAGAUCUGACUUAUUUCAGUGAAGUAGAUAUUUUACUGUUCUGUUGAUGAUAUAUAGAAAGAAGAAAUUAAUAAACGGAUAAUAAAUAAUUCGUAACCCUUGUGGCUUAUUUCUGACAAUGUUUCUGCCAUGAAUUUAUAAAAAUAAAAACAAUUAAUAAAGGUAAUAUAUACAUAGGUAUGAGGAAGGCCUUUGUCCAGCAAUGGACGGACAAAGGCUACAAUGAUGAUGAUGAUGUACAUAGGUAAUAGGUGCGGGUAAUUCGGUUAAUUUUUUUUUUACAACACAGGGGGCAAACGAGCAUGCGGCUCAUCUGAUAGUAAGUGACUACCGCCGCUCAUGAACGUCCACAACACCAACGGCAUUGCAGGUGUGCUAUCGACCUUUUAAAAGGGAAUAUGCUCUUUUCUUGAAGGUUAUGUUAUCGUAUUGGUUCGGAAAUACUGCUAAUGGAAGUUGAUUCCAAAGAGUGGUUGUGCGUGAAAGAAAGUGCCUUGAAAAAGGCACGGUGGAGGACCGCCAUUCGUCCAGAUGGUUGGGAUGAAAUUUUAGUUUUUGGCGGGUUGUACGAUGGUGAAAAUCAGCAGCAGGUAUCAAUCCGAACAAUUCCUCAGAGUACUCUCCACGAUAAAUUCAGUAGAAGAUGCACAGAGAUGCAACAUCUCUACGCAGUUUCAAUGGGUCGAGUCGGACAGUAAGGCGCCGAUCGUCCACAAUUCGAGCUGCCAGACUUUGAAUAUGGUCUAACGGAAGGAGUUGGUAAUGUGGCGCUCCUGCCCACAGGUCGAUUGGCUGAGACGUUAAGACGCCAAAAUAAAACAAACAUACCGAUAUUUGUACCGUUGUUACUGACCGCAGUAACCAAAGUUUCCCAUUAAAUAGCAAGAUCAGCGGAGAGCACAAGCGAACGAACAGUAUAUGAAGGGAAGCAGACAAAAACACAAUAAAGUGUUUAUGUUCUCUAUAAAAUCUCCUCAAGCCGAGAACUCAUAUUUUAUGUGAAGCCGCUGAACCCAAUUACACAUGAAUGGUUCGUCAUGAUCAGAGAUUUUUUGGGGCCCAAUAAAAACUUACUGCAAGAUUUAUAUCCAUGCUAGGAGGCAAGCGUCUGUAUUCUAAUUGAUCUUAUUAGUGUUGCAACUUGUUAUUAAAUUACGAAGUAAAUGAGAAUUUACUGAA